rnacentral:lncRNA from 1 species
GGAGUAAAGUAUAUGGAAGGAAUAAUUUAAAAGUUUAACCAUAGAGUGCAAGUGUACUAAAGAAGAAGAUGAAGCCAUGACAGAAGGGAAGAGUUCGGUAUAGGUGUUCUGAUUUAUGAGAUGGAAGUACCUGUGGGACUGAAGGAUUGUUGGAGCCAGUGACCUAAAGAGAAUGGACUGAGAAUAUAGGAAGCAGUGGUCAUAAAACAGAAAACUUGGAAUAGAGGUUAUGGAAAGGUUGAAAUUAUUGAAAAAAUAAUUAUAAAGUUUAGUGAAUGACCAAGAAGUGAGUGACUGAAGUAAGGUAGAGAACAAGGUCAUCGGAAGAGAGGAGUUCAAGGAACCAAGAGGCCAGAAUAUUGGAGGGAUCAUCUUCAUAUAUACUGAAGUUACUAAGAAGCAAGAUGGAAAUAGCGCCGAAGAGAAGGACCUGAUCCAACAGCCAUCCUCAAAGAGUUUAAUGAAUGUGGUACCACAAGCAAAAUGUACGUCCACAUUGAAAGGUAAGAUGAAUUACUUCAUCUAGUAGUAUUUUUCUGUUGAUUAAACUUUUGUUUACAUUAUUAUUAUCCUCAUGUCAUUAGGGGUGCAUUAAAACAAUAAUAGUUUUGCUCCAAAAAAAAAAAAAACAAAGUCAUUUGUGCUCUCUCCUGGAAUAUUUUCCUGUGACCUUGGUUCUUUGGAGAAUGUUUGUGUGGUGAGCUGGUAGUAAUGACAUU